GACGAACGCUGGCGGCGUGCCUAAUACAUGCAAGUAGAACGCACAGUUUAUACCGUAGCUUGCUACACCAUAGACUGUGAGUUGCGAACGGGUGAGUAACGCGUAGGUAACCUGCCUGGUAGCGGGGGAUAACUAUUGGAAACGAUAGCUAAUACCGCAUAAUAUUAAUUAUUGCAUGAUAAUUAAUUGAAAGGUGCAAUUGCACCACUACCAGAUGGACCUGCGUUGUAUUAGCUAGUAGGUGAGGUAACGGCUCACCUAGGCGACGAUACAUAGCCGACCAUAGAGGGUGAUCGGCCACACUGGGACUGAGACACGGCCCAGACUCCUACGGGAGGCAGCAGUAGGGAAUCUUCGGCAAUGGACGAAAGUCUGACCGAGCAACGCCGCGUGAGUGAAGAAGGUUUUCGGAUCGUAAAGCUCGGUUGUAAGAGAAGAACGGGUGUGAGAGUGGAAAGUUCACACUGUGACGGUAUCUUACCAGAAAGGGACGGCUAACUACGUG
rnacentral:rRNA from 1 species